rnacentral:rRNA from 1 species
AGCGGCGGACGGGUGAGUAACGCGUGGGUAACCUGCCUCAUACACAUGGAUAACAUACCGAAAGGUAUGCUAAUACAAGAUGAUAUAAGAAAUUUGCAUGGAUUUCUUAUCAAAGCUCCGGCGGUAUGAGAUGGACCCGCGUCUGAUUAGCUAGUUGGUAAGGUAACGGCUUACCAAGGCGACGAUCAGUAGCCGACCUGAGAGGGUGAUCGGCCACAUUGGAACUGAGACACGGUCCAAACUCCUACGGGAGGCAGCAGUGGGGAAUAUUGCACAAUGGGCGAAAGCCUGAUGCAGCAACGCCGCGUGAGCGAUGAAGGCCUUCGGGUCGUAAAGCUCUGUCCUCAAGGAAGAUAAUGACGGUACUUGAGGAGGAAGCCCCGGCUAACUACGUGCCAGCAGCCGCGGUAAUACGUAGGGGGCUAGCGUUAUCCGGAUUUACUGGGCGUAAAGGGUGCGUAGGUGGUUUCUUAAGUCAGGAGUGAAAGGCUACGGCUCAACCGUAGUAAGCUCUUGAAACUGGGAAACUUGAGUGCAGGAGAGGAAAGUGGAAUUCCUAGUGUAGCGGUGAAAUGCGUAGAUAUUAGGAGGAACACCAGUAGCGAAGGCGGCUUUCUGGACUGUAACUGACACUGAGGCACGAAAGCGUGGGGAGCAAACAGGAUUAGAUACCCUGGUAGUCCACGCCGUAAACGAUGAGUACUAGGUGU